rnacentral:lncRNA from 1 species
CUGAAAAGAUGUAAAGGAAGCAGUCAUCCCUGUGGUGUUUGUGGAGAGGUUUUCCUUCAGAAAUGGAGAAGACAAAAAGCUGCGGAGGCAGACAUUUGCAGCAGCCAAGUGUUCGAGUGAGCAUGGUGACCACAAGUGUGUGUCGAACUUUUCAUGACCUGAUGACAGUGGUUCCCGUUCCUGAUCCUGGAGAACCCCAGCACUGCACGGUUUUGGCGUCUCUCUUAUCUCACAAACACACUUUUGAGGUCUUGGAGUCUUCACUGAUGAGCUGAUGAGUUGAAUCAGGUGUGUUUGAUCAGGGAGACAUCUCAAAUGUGCAGUGUUGGGCUUCUCCAGGACCAGGAUUGGGAGCCACUGCCUUACGGGACACACUUAAGUGUUUACAGAGA